UGCUCAGGAUGAACGCUAGCGGCAGGCUUAACACAUGCAAGUCGAGGGGUAUAGUUCUUCGGAAUUAGAGACCGGCGCACGGGUGCGUAACGCGUAUGCAAUCUACCUUUCACAGAGGGAUAGCCCAGAGAAAUUUGGAUUAAUACCUCAUAGUAUAUAGAGUUGGCAUCAACAUUAUAUUAAAGUCACAACGGUGAAAGAUGAGCAUGCGUCCCAUUAGCUAGUUGGUAAGGUAACGGCUUACCAAGGCAACGAUGGGUAGGGGUCCUGAGAGGGAGAUCCCCCACACUGGUACUGAGACACGGACCAGACUCCUACGGGAGGCAGCAGUGAGGAAUAUUGGACAAUGGGCGCAAGCCUGAUCCAGCCAUGCCGCGUGCAGGAUGACGGUCCUAUGGAUUGUAAACUGCUUUUAUACGAGAAGAAACACCUCUACGUGUAGAGACU
rnacentral:rRNA from 1 species